UACGUAGGGUGCAAGCGUUGUCCGGAAUUAUUGGGCGUAAAGAGCUUGUAGGCGGUUUGUCGCGUCUGCUGUGAAAUUUCGGGGCUCAACCCCGAACUUGCAGUGGGUACGGGCAGACUAGAGUGUGGUAGGGGAGACUGGAAUUCCUGGUGUAGCGGUGAAAUGCGCAGAUAUCAGGAGGAACACCGGUGGCGAAGGCGGUGGUCUGGGCCGACACUGACGCUGAGGAGCGAAAGCGUGGGGAGCGAACAGG
rnacentral:rRNA from 1 species